rnacentral:rRNA from 1 species
AUGAACACAUCCAACCAUCCUCAAACCGACGGUCAGUCAGAACGUGUCAAUCAUGCCUUGAAACUGCGCUGCUUCACUCAUUCCUGCCCGAAGCGAUGGAGCCAGUGGAUUCCACUCUCGCAGUUCUGGUACAACGCAGCACCACAUUCGGCAAUUGGCAUGACCCCAUUCAUGGCCAUGUUUGGGCAUGAGCCGCACCAUUGGGGCAUCACCGCCACCUCUUCUUGCUCUAUCCCUCCUCUACAAACUUGGCUCGACGAACAUGCCACUAUUCAGGACUUGUUGCAGCAACAUCUUCAGCGGACGCGCCUGCGCAUGAAGCAACAAGCGGACAAGAAGCGCUCUGAACGCGCUUUCGAGGUGGGCGACCAAGUUUUCUGGAAGCUCCAAUCUUAUGUCCAGACAUCAGUGGCCAAGCACGCCAACCACAAGCUCUCCUUCCGCUACUACGGGCCAUACUCCAUCAUCGCCAAGAUCAACCCUGUGACCUACAAACUGGAACUUCUGGCAAACGCCUCGGUGCAUCCAGUUUUUCAUGUUUUGUUUCUCAGGAAAGCCCUUCUGCCAGGUACGCCAGUUGAACAACAACAACUCCCUAUCACGCCUGAUAUCCAUGCAGUUCCAGCAACAAUUUUGGCCUCACGUUGGAGACGCAAGCGUGGUGCUAUGGCCGAGCAGGUCCUCGUUAGGUGGUCAGAUACUGCGUUGAUCAACGACACUUGGAAGGAAAAACAAGAAAUUCAAGCUCGCUUUCCUGCUGUAGAGGCUUGGGGGCAAGCCUCAUCGCAAGAAAGAGGGGGUGUCAAGGCCACGGAUAGGACGGGCUCUCCAGACGGCAGUGACACGGUCUCGCCCCCGGCUCGGCCCAUGAGACAGAGAUGGCCCAGCAGCAAAGUCCACGGGCCAGAGUGGGUGUGA